ACUGAUUGCACCCGAUCCCGUCCGAUCUCGGAAGCUAAGCAGU
rnacentral:rRNA from 1 species